rnacentral:rRNA from 1 species
GGAUUAGUGGCGAACGGGUGAGGAACACGUGAAGAAUCUGCCCUCCACUUUGGGAUAACUCCGGGAAACCGGGGCUAAUACCGGAUGUCCUCGCCGAAGCUCAUGCUUUGGUGAGGAAAUGGAUUCCGCUUCGGGAUGGCCUCGCGGCCUAUCAGCUUGUUGGUGAGGUAACGGCUCACCAAGGCUUCGACGGGUAGCUGGUCUGAGAGGAUGUCCAGCCACACUGGGACUGAGACACGGCCCAGACUCC